CCUAGAACUAGAAGAAUCGGCAGCUUUUGUGGCCGCCCCUCUCUGGCUCUCCCCUUCCUGUCCCCGACGGCCGACCAUUUCCUGUCAUCUCCUCUCUCCCUCGCUUUCCCAUCUCCAUCCACCCGCCGCGCCUCGACCCCGCGCCGCCGCAUCUCCGGCGAGAUGUCGCGCUUCGGGCGAUCCGGCCCGCCGCCAAUCCGCGACACCUACUCCCUCCUCGUCCUCAACAUUACCUUCCGAACGACCGCUGAUGACCUCUUCCCGCUAUUCGACAAGUAUGGCGAGGUCGUCGACAUCUACAUCCCCAGGGACCGCAGGACUGGUGACUCCCGAGGGUUCGCGUUCGUGAGGUACAAGUACGAGGACGAGGCGCAGAAGGCAGUUGAUAGGCUCGAUGGUGCGCCUGUGCUCCUUACCUCUGGAAAUAGAUGUUUGCCAUCUGCGGGGUGUGAUUGGAUUGUUGUUCACUUCGUGCGUGUUUUGUUUGCAGGGAGAGUGGUAGAUGGGAGAGAGAUCAUGGUGCAGUUUGCCAAAUAUGGCCCAAAUGCUGAACGGAUUAAUAAAGGGAGAAUAGUGGAGCCACUACCAAGGUCAAGAGGCCGUUCCAGAAGCCACAGUCCAAGACGGUGGUACCGUGAUGAUUAUCGAGAUGAUUACCGGGAUAGAGAUUAUAGAAGGCGAAGUCGGAGUCGGAGUAGAGAUAGGUAUUCACGUGACAGUUACAGAGAGAGGGAUUAUCGUCACCGUAGCAGGAGUCGCAGCCCUGAUGGUUACAAGAAGCAUGGGAGAGACAGUUUGUCUCCUCCACGUAGAAGUCCUAGUCGUAGCCGAAGCCGAAGUCGCAGCUACAGUCCUGAUGAUAACAAGAGGCGUGGCAGAGACAGCAGUGCAUCACCUGCGAGUAGGAGCCCUAGCCGCACCCCACCUUGCAAGACAUCACCUUCUCCUGAGAGAUCUCCUGUCAGGCGCGAGCACAAUGAUGACCGGUCUCCACGUUCUCGGAGCCCUUCGACAUGAGCAUUGUAUCAUUUGAAGUGCAUCCUUAACAUCUCAGGUCCCUAGAUUGUUCACAUUAUUUAUGUUGAUUAUAGUUCAUCUCCAAUGUUAAUACAAUUCGUUGCUUUUUUGUAGGAUGAAUGGACUAGGCUAUGUGUUUGCUUGAUGGUGGGCCUUCUUCAGUUACAGUUCUGUAAUGCUGGCUGUCAGUUGCUGCUUCAAGCUUCGAGUACUUUCAUUUGGCACCAGUACUGCUUGUCAAGAACUUUAUGUACACCAAUUCCGUUCCAUUUUCCUUUCCUAUUAGUACUUCGUAUUAUCACUGUCUUUCCAGUAUUGGGCACUUACUAUUCAUGGUGGCUUGCACCUUUCUAGUUGCAUGAUGGAGUGAAGAUGUGCUGGCUGAUAUGCGGUCAACAUGAACGUAGCUUACUGUUGAAGUUGAUAUUAUCUGUGCUGUUUGCCUUUUGAUGGUGAUGGUGAUGACAUGAUGGUGGCACUGCAGCUGCCUACACCACUUGCUGUCCGCACCUAUUAUGCUGACAAGUAAGAUUCCAAAGGUUUAGCUGACUUAAGAGUUUCAUUUCUUUCUUAAAUCAUGGAAUGCUUUCCCAAGUUUCUACAUGGCGGGUGCCACCCCCAAACCCCUGUUCUUUAUUUGGAUUUGAAUGUGUCUGCGGUGAUUUCUUACA